rnacentral:rRNA from 1 species
CGCGUGUGUGAAGAAGGCUGCGGGUUGUAAAGCACUUUCAGUGGGGAGGAAAAGCCUGGGGCGAAUACCCCUGGGUCUUGACGUUACCUACAGAAGAAGCACCGGCUAACUCCGUGCCAGCAGCCGCGGUAAUACGGAGGGUGCAAGCGUUAAUCGGAAUUACUGGGCGUAAAGCGCGCGUAGGCGGCUUGAUAAGUCAGAUGUGAAAGCCCCGGGCUCAACCUGGGAACUGCAUUUGAUACUGUCUGGCUAGAGUAUGGUAGAGGG